UGAGGAAUAUUGCGCAAUGGAGGAAACUCUGACGCAGCCACGCCGCGUGCAGGAAGACACCCCUCAGGGGCGUAAACUGCUUUUGUACGAGAAGAACACCCGCCCUUGGGCGGGUCUGACGGUAUCGUACGAAUAAGGACCGGCUAACUCCGUGCCAGCAGCCGCGGUAAUACGGAGGGUCCAAGCGUUGUCCGGAAUCACUGGGUGUAAAGGGUGCGCAGGCGGGCCUGUAAGUCAGGGGUGAAAGCCACCGGCCUAACCGGUGAAUUGCCCUUGAUACUGCAGGUCUUGAGUCCCGGAGAGGCUAUCAGAAUUCGUGGUGUAGCGGUGAAAUGCGUAAAUAUCACGAGGAAUACCUGAUGCGUAGGCGGAUAGCUGGACGGGUACUGACGCUCAGGCACGAAAGCGUGGGGAGCGAACAGGAUUAGAUACCCCCGUAGUCC
rnacentral:rRNA from 1 species